rnacentral:rRNA from 1 species
CAGCCGCCACGGUAAUACGUAGGUGGCAAGCGUUGUCCGGAAUUAUUGGGCGUAAAGGGCUCGCAGGCGGUUUCUUAAGUCUGAUGUGAAAGCCCCCGGCUCAACCGGGGAGGGUCAUUGGAAACUGGGAAACUUGAGUGCAGAAGAGGAGAGUGGAGAUCCACGUGUAGCGGUGAAAUGCGUAGAGAUGUGGAGGAACACCAGUGGCGAAGGCGACUCUCUGGUCUGUAACUGACGCUGAGGAGCGAAAGCGUGUGGAGCGAACAGGAUUAGAUACCCCAGUAGUCCCUGUCUCUUAUAC